GUGGGGAAUCUUGCGCAAUGGGCGAAAGCCUGACGCAGCCAUGCCGCGUGAAUGAUGAAGGUCUUAGGAUUGUAAAAUUCUUUCACCGGGGACGAUAAUGACGGUACCCGGAGAAGAAGCUCCGGCUAACUUCGUGCCAGCAGCCGCGGUAAUACGAAGGGGGCUAGCGUUGCUCGGAAUUACUGGGCGUAAAGGGCGCGUAGGCGGACAGCUUAGUCAGAGGUGAAAGCCCAGGGCUCAACCUUGGAAUUGCCUUUGAUACUGGCUGUCUUGAGUUUGGGAGAGGUGAGUUGAACUCCGAGUGUAGAGGUGAAAUUCGUAGAUAUUCGGAAGAACACCAGUGGCGAAGGCGACUCACUGGCCCAAUACUGACGCUGAGGCGCGAAAGCGUGGGGAGCAAACAGGAUUAGAAACCCUGGUAGUCC
rnacentral:rRNA from 1 species